ACUGCGGAGGGAUCAUUACAGAACUUCCGGGCUUCGGCCUGGUUAUUCAUAACCCUUUGUUGUCCGACUCUGUUGCCUCCGGGGCGACCCUGCCUUCGGGCGGGGGCUCCGGGUGGACACUUCAAACUCUUGCGUAACUUUGCAGUCUGAGUAAACUUAAUUAAUAAAUUAAAACUUUUAACAACGGAUCUCUUGGUUCUGGCAUCGAUGAAGAACGCAGCGAAAUGCGAUAAGUAAUGUGAAUUGCAGAAUUCAGUGAAUCAUCGAAUCUUUGAACGCACAUUGCGCCCCCUGGUAUUCCGGGGGGCAUGCCUGUUCGAGCGUCAUUUCACCACUCAAGCCUCGCUUGGUAUUGGGCAACGCGGUCCGCCGCGUGCCUCAAAUCGUCCGGCUGGGUCUUCUGUCCCCUAAGCGUUGUGGAAACUAUUCGCUAAAGGGUGUUCGGGAGGCUACGCCGUAAAACAACCCCAUUUCCAAGGUUGACCUCGGAUCAGGUAGGGAUACCCGCUGAACUUAAGCAUAUCA
rnacentral:rRNA from 1 species